rnacentral:misc_RNA from 1 species
AAAGAAGCCGAAAGGCUACUUAAAACCAUCGUGAACUCGUCCAAGUUGCUUCGGCGGCGCGGAGCCCUCCUCACCGGGGGCGCCGCAGCGCCCGCGCCCCCCCGGGGGUUGCGGGAGCGCCCGCCGGAGGUCCCAAACUCUCAUGUAUUAUAGUGGAUCUCUGAGUACAAAACAAAUAAGUUA